GGUUUGGAAGAAAGUAGAUAUAGAUAAUAGCAUUUGCUCUGUGGUGUUAUCGUGUAAUAAUCAUUAAAUUUCUCUGUUACAGAAUAUCCUAAAGAGACAUCAAAUAAUAAUCCUAGCAUCUUCUACUGUGAGAAUAAUGGAAAUUGACAUUGUGAAGUACAUGGAUAAACGUGAAAGGUUUUCACAAGCUCAGCAUCAAAUACAGGGCUUCCAUACCAGAGGCCACCUGCUCCAACAGAACAGCAGUCCUUUAUGA
rnacentral:lncRNA from 1 species